AACACUGUAUAAUUGCCGAACCUUGGAUAUACUGUACAAAGUUUGUUCGAUCCAGCGACUAUUCAAUAUCGGGGUUCCUGGCAGCCUGUAUUAUAGCAGAACAUCAGAAAUUUCUCAUUUUAAUGAACAAUAUGCUCAACGGCGGGAACUUUGCCUAUUUUAAAAAACUGAGUUUACGUUCUACGUCAAAGUCAUGAUCGCGUAACAAGCUAAUGUCAAAUCAUUCUCAGAAAAAAAUUCCAUCACGAUAACGGAGCAUUUUAACAUGGAAAUAUAUCCUGCUAGUGAUAGAGAUUAAUAUUUGUUCCGGAUAUAAUUUUGAAUGUGUAAAGAACACUCUAUCUUGUUGUUCAAAAUUCAUAUCGUGUCGUGAACUCAGUUUUUGCGCAGAAGCAUUUUUCGACCCGAAAGCUGUGUGGAGCCUCUUCAGCUUUCCUGUGCAGAAAUAGGAUUCACACACGCAUACACAUAGCGGAUAAAUGAACCUUAGGCGUUAUUGCUAAAAUACAAUACACAACUCAAUGUUUAAAUCAAGAAAUGAAUGAUGUCGGACCGGUUCAACACUUUUAACCAGUCGAAUUGUUGCAUUUUGUUGAGACAAUCCGCGGCUUGGAUGAGAUCUGCUGAUCAGGCACGUUGAAAUAUUUCACUUAGUGUCCGGGGAUCCAUGAUUAAAUUUGAAUUAGUAGUUUAAUAAUUAUCGGUAAAAUUGACGGUAAUUUUAUAAUGGGAAAUCUGAAAAUAAGGAAACAAAAUUUAAUUAGCUUGUGAACAAAUUGUUGUAUAGACUGAAUAUUAUACAUAUAUUUCUAUGAUAUAUAUUAUUGUAAAAUAUAAUGCGCAUAUAUACACAACUAUGAAUCACAUAAUGCCAAUGCUGUUACGUAAACGGCCAGCAAAUGAUUAAAUCUUUAUUGAAUAUUGUUGUCCGAAUAAUAAUAAUAAUAAUAAUAAUAGAGAGAACUGAAAUUUCACAAAGAUUUCGACGCCUGAAAUUAAUUGCUACUCAAGACUCUGGGUUGUAAAUUUAAAAAUGAAUUAUUGAGUAAACCAGCAGAAUCAGAAUGCCCUGUCCUCUUAUAUCAUAAUCUAGUAUAAUGUAAAAACAUGUGACAAUAAAACAUUUCUUACUGUA